rnacentral:rRNA from 1 species
UUCGCCCUUAGAGUUCGAUCCUGGCUCAGAGCGAACGCUGGCGGCAGGCUUAACACAUGCAAGUCGAGCGGGCCCUUCGGGGUCAGCGGCAGACGGGUGAGUAACGCGUGGGAACGUGCCCUUCGGUUCGGAAUAACUCAGGGAAACUUGAGCUAAUACCGGAUACGUGCGAGAGCAGAAAGGUUUAUCUGCCGAAGGAUCGGCCCGCGUCUGAUUAGCUGGUUGGUGGGGUUAUGGCUCACCAAGGCGACGAUCAGUAGCUGGUCUGAGAGGAUGAUCUGCCACACUGGGACUGAGACACGGGCCCAGACUCCUACGGGAGGCAGCAGAAGGG